GACGAACGCUGGCGGCGUGCCUAACACAUGCAAGUCGAGCGAAGUGAGUACUACGGUACGAACUUAGCGGCGGACGGGUGAGUAACGCGUGGACAAUCUACCCUGUAGACUGGGAUAACACCUCGAAAGGGGUGCUAAUACCGGAUAAUGUCGAGAAGCGGCAUCGCUUUUCGAAGAAAGGAGAGAAUCCGCUAUAGGAGGAGUCCGCGUCCCAUUAGCUAGUUGGUGAGGGUAACGGCCCACCAAGGCGACGAUGGGUAGCCGGCCUGAGAGGGUGAACGGCCAAACUGGAACGGAGACACGGUCCAGACUCCUACGGGGGGCAGCAGUGGGGAAUAUUGUGCAAUGGGGGAAACCCUGACACAGCAACGCCGCGUGAGCGAAGAAGGCCUUCGGGUUGUAAAGCUCAAUAGUAUGGGAAGAUAAUGACGGUACCAUACGAAAGCCCCGGCUAACUACGUGCCAGCAGCCGCCGUAAUAC
rnacentral:rRNA from 1 species